rnacentral:rRNA from 1 species
GGUAAAGGGAGGGAGGGCCUCUGGGUCCACCUCCACCCGUGUCUAUCGUACCUUGUUGCUUCGGCGGGCCCGCCGUUUCGACGGCCGCCGGGGAGGCCUCGCGCCCCCGGGCCCGCGCCCGCCGAAGACCCCAACAUGAACUCUGUUCUGAAAGUAUGCAGUCUGAGUUGAUUAUCAUAAUCAGUUAAAACUUUCAACAACGGAUCUCUUGGUUCCGGCAUCGAUGAAGAACGCAGCGAAAUGCGAUAAGUAAUGUGAAUUGCAGAAUUCAGUGAAUCAUCGAGUCUUUGAACGCACAUUGCGCCCCCUGGUAUUCCGGGGGGCAUGCCUGUCCGAGCGUCAUUGCUGCCCUCAAGCACGGCUUGUGUGUUGGGCCCCCGUCCCCGGUUUCCCCCGGGGACGGGCCCGAAAGGCAGCGGCGGCACCGCGUCCGGUCCUCGAGCGUAUGGGGCUUUGUCACCCGCUCUGUAGGCCCGGCCGGCGCCAGCCGACACCCAACUUUAUUUCUAAGGUUGACCUCGGAUCAGGUAGGGAUACCCGCUGAACUUAAGCAUAUCUAGGCGGGGAAAGAAGGUCCCCCAACCCCUUCUU